CCUACGGGAGGCAGCAGUGAGGAAUAUUGGUCAAUGGUCGGGAGACUGAACCAGCCAAGCCGCGUGAGGGAGGAAGGUACAGAGUAUCGUAAACCUCUUUUGUCAGGGAACAAAGGCGGGGACGUGUCCCCGGUUGAGUGUACCUGAAGAAAAAGCAUCGGCUAACUCCGUGCCAGCAGCCGCGGUAAUACGGAGGAUGCGAGCGUUAUCCGGAUUUAUUGGGUUAAAAGGGUGCGCAGGCGGUCUGUAAAGUCAGCGGUCAAAGCCCGGGGCUCAACCCCGGCCCGCCGUUGAAACUGGCAGUCUCGAGUUGGAGAGAAGUAUGCGGAAUGCGCGGUGUAGCAGUGAAAUGCAUAGAUAUCGCGCAGAACUCCGAUUGCGAAGGCAGCAUGCCGGCUCCACACUGACGCUGAGGCACGAAAGCGUGGGUAUCGAACAGGAUUAGAUACCCUAGUAGUC
rnacentral:rRNA from 1 species